GAUGAACGCUAGCUACAGGCUUAACACAUGCAAGUCGAGGGGAAACGGCAUCGAAAGCUUGCUUUUGAUGGGCGUCGACCGGCGCACGGGUGAGUAACGCGUAUCCAACCUGCCCAUCACUUGGGAAUAACCUUGCGAAAGUAAGACUAAUGCCCAAUGACAUCCCACGAAGGCAUCCGAAUGGGAUUAAAGAUUUAUCGGUGAUGGAUGGGGAUGCGUCUGAUUAGCUUGUUGGCGGGGUGACGGCCCACCAAGGCAACGAUCAGUAGGGGUUCUGAGAGGAAGGUCCCCCACAUUGGAACUGAGACACGGUCCAAACUCCUACGGGAGGCAGCAGUGAGGAAUAUUGGUCACUGGGCGAGAGCCUGAACCAGCCAAGUAGCGUGCAGGAUGACGGCCCUAUGGGUUGUAAACUGCUUUUAUAAGGGAAUAAAGUGGGUCACGUGUGACUUUUUGCAUGUACCUUAUGAAUAAGGACCGGCUAAUUCCGUG
rnacentral:rRNA from 1 species